rnacentral:lncRNA from 10 species
AGGUCGUCGCUGCCCUCAGCCUCCAGAUGCAGCCCCCCUGCCACCUUCAGGACCCCUGGCUCUCCCCUGGACUCAGUAGCGAAAGGGUUUAUGUGCUCGGAGGGAGACCUUCAGGAAUCUGUGCAUAGAAUGCCAUAGUGCAGAGGAAACAGCCCCAGAAAAUGGAACAGCUGCUAAGUGAGACUCCUCAGCCAGGCCAGAGAAUGUGCAUUCUGACGGACUGCUUCUCAUUUGCACUGAUCACUGUCUUCUUUCUGAAACCAGCCCAACUUUUCUCCCAGAGAGUAUCAUGGAACUGAACUUUCAAGAUCAUGGCAUCUGGACAUCGAGAAAACAGAACCCUCAUCUGGCCACCUGCUGCUUUUUGACCAAUUCCCAUAUAAACCGCUAACUUCAGUCAGUUGGAGGGAUGGAUUUGAGAUUUGCCUUCUGUCUCUCAGGUGAUGUCACCAGCAAUAAAGCCUUCUUCCCUGGCAAUACUCAA